GGGCAGUCAGGCCCGGCUCUUCAAUCUCAGGCACUCAUGUAACUUCCUGAGCAAAUUCACGCAUGAAAAAAAAAAUGACUUCGGGUUGUCACUGAGCUCAGAAAAUCUCUGCCAAGCCCAUCCCAGCCGGCUUUCCCAAGUUUUAUUGGAGGAGAAUUUUAAAUUGAAAGGUGAGUGAGGAGCAGCGUCCUCAGUCCUCCCAGCCAGGCUUUGAACUAACAAUAGGGCAGGUUGAAUGAAGGCUGAUAAAAGCAAAUCCUGGAAUUGCAAAGCCGGAUCACACCGCCUAAGCGGGCGGCGGCGAUCAGCGUUCCAGCUUGUAUCUGUCCCAGCUGGUGGCAUCAAGUCAGUGCGUUCAGUAGAUUUCAUCGACUUUUGAACGCCUGCUCUUUGCAAGCUUUUCUCUGCCACGUAUGCCCUUAUUCACCUCAAGCAGGUUGGCUGCUCUAGUCUGCCAGCUACUAAACUGAUCUGAUUAACUGACCUGUUAGUGCCAAGGAGUGGCAUUUGGAAAGAGAGAUUGGAGGAUAAAUAAAAAGUGUUGUAUCACCCACACUCCCUCAAUUUUAGUUGUAUUUUACUAAAAAGAGAGUUCCUUGAUUUCAGAGCGCUAACAUGCUAUUUUCUUAGAUUGGCAAAGAAAAGCAACAAAAACAAAAGCAAAAAAACUAGAAGGGGAGAUAAGCUGGGUGGUUCGGAAUUUUAGAUGUUCUAACACUUUGAUGCAGGCUGUAUAUACUUUCCUUUCCCGGCGUCCUUCACCUCCAACUUUGUUUCUGCAGGUCCUUUACCCUCCCACUGCCGAGGCUGUCCAGACUGUCCCCACACCAAACAUCAGUGGGAUGUUCUUGGAUUAGGGGAUCCUUGAAAUGUGCCAGGGGUGAGGUGGAAAAUAAUUCAAUUCCAGUGCUUCUGGUCCUUGUCCACUCGGAAGCCCCGCAGGAGUGUGUGGGCCUAGGGGGUCCAGGUCCACCUAGCCCGCGGCGGCUCCAGUCCACUCCCUCAGGCUCCAGUUCCUGAUUUCCUCGGGAGCUGCGGGCCCUGGAGGGAGGGGGCUCCAGUGUGAGCGUGAGGAUUUGAAUGAGAAAGCAGGUUGUGGCGGAGGCGCCCCGCUCUUCCCAGCUCCUCUCCGGGGUCCUGCUGGCUGGUGGGGAGAAGCGCCCACCCGGGAGGCCUUUGCUGGCUCUCGGCAGAAGUUUGGAGUUGGAGUCACAGGGGCGAUUAACUCAUCGCUCUGCUCUUGGAAGGUUGCUCCUGUGCCCAGGACUUGAGGAUUCUGCAUCUGCUGAAUACUCCGGGCUGAGGUGGAGAGGGGCGUGUACCGCCCAGCAGCUUCCCUGACCUCUGGACACUGACGUUUAUGACGGCGACUGGUGCUCCGAAACGGACCAAAGUAAAACACUCAUGAAUAGAAACAAAAGCUUUCCCAAAAGAGGCGUUGCUUUACCAGCUGUCUCUAAGCUUUGGUCAUUUUAGGGGUAAACUUCCGCAGAGAGUGAAUAUUUCUUUCCAGAAACCUGGUCAUAGACCAGUUUUCUUAAGCAUUUUCAUUUCCUUAAAUUCGUGAGCCUUGACAGUCCCAGCCCCUCUUUUAAAUCCCAUUUGUUUACACACAGGCGAGCAUUUGGCAAGAGUACACAUUUUAAGGAGAAUGUAGCGGCAUCUGUGGC
ensembl:lncRNA